GCGGCGGACGGGUGAGUAACACGUGGGCAACCUGCCCUGCAGACUGGGAUAACUUCGGGAAACCGGAGCUAAUACCGGAUAACACCGAAAACCGCAUGGUUUUCGGUUGAAAGGCGGCUUUUAGCUGUCACUGCAGGAUGGGCCCGCGGCGCAUUAGCUAGUUGGUGAGGUAACGGCUCACCAAGGCGACGAUGCGUAGCCGACCUGAGAGGGUGACCGGCCACACUGGGACUGAGACACGGCCCAGACUCCUACGGGAGGCAGCAGUAGGGAAUCUUCCGCAAUGGACGAAAGUCUGACGGAGCAACGCCGCGUGAGCGAAGAAGGUCUUCGGAUCGUAAAGCUCUGUUGUCAGGGAAGAACAAGUGCCGUUCGAACAGGGCGGUACCUUGACGGUACCUGACGAGGAAGCCACGGCUAACUACUUGCCACCAGCCGCGGUAAUAC
rnacentral:rRNA from 1 species